UAUUAAUUUGCGUUGCUGUUUUAAAUUUUAUGGACCACGUCAUUUUACAUUAAACCUGAUUUUCUGUUGUUUUACAUUUUGUGACAAACCCAUUUUUUGUCCUUAGUUCGACUUUUGUGACAAGUUCGACUUUUGUGAGAAACUGAAUUUUGUGACAAACUGAAUUUUCUGUUGUGUCACGGCUGAGAAGAAUCCUUUCUUAUCCCAAACGCUCUCCACCGCAGUCACUGAUCUGAAACAAGCUGGAUAACGCAUUUAUAGUAAGCAAAAGUGGUAGUUUUUCGCGUUUUUUGCCUUGGCUACGUUUCUG